AAUAUGUAUGCAAGCAGGGUUUUUUGCUCUGCAUUGGAUGUGACUUGAUUAAGUAUGCAAUUUUAGGUCUCUCUUUAAUUUACAGGAACUACCUUCACUAGUGAUUUGAUCUCAGAAACUCUAACGGACCUACAAUCUUUAAGACUUGCACAGCCUGUAAAGUGUCUUCAAGUAUAGAAAAUCCCCAAUUGCUCUGAAUCUGCAAUCACCCUGACCACUGGGCUGCAGCCAUCUAAACCAGAGCAGAACUGGGGUAAAAAUGAAAGGGUAUUCAUAAAAAUAUCCCCCAUGUAAGAUAACCUUAAGUGUUUUCCAACAGCAUCUGAACCAAGAGGGGCUUGAACUCCAGUUUUCAUAGCUUUGCCAAAAGACCAGCACCAAAUCCUGCCUACGGCAGCCAGGUGGACAAAAGAGAGGAAGGACAAACCCUAAACACCACAUCACCUUGAGUCCAUGGAAUACUCCUUGGUCCCACAAAAAGAGAGGUGAGCUCCCACGACUACAAAAUACAUUAGAAAAGAGACCCUCUCAGCAACUUUAUGAACUAACUUUAUAAGCCACAGUUUAAAUGGCUACGGCAUCAUUUCGGCAAAUGGAGAUACACUGAUUUAAACCAGCUGACAACCUUUGGCCCAUAAGGCAAGGUAAUAGGUACCCCUUUCCAGGGAGCAGGGAGCUGGUGCCAUUUCAUAUAUGUGUUCAGGGAGGAGGAAAGAUCAUAAAAAGAAUUGCAAACUGGGAGGUUACAAGUAGAAUUGCUUCUCCCUCCCUUUUUUCCCCCCUCUUUUACCUAAGGAACAAGCAUUUUGACCCCUUCUUUCCCAUAGAAAACUUGGGAAGGAAAGUCUGCCUAAUUUUCCUGCAGUUUAAAGAUGUCUUUACGUUCUGGCAUGAAGAUGGAUGAGGCACUCUCCUGCAAAAGUGAUGGAAUUCCUUGUGUAAAAAUUAGAUUUAUAAGUCUCAAUGAGCAAGAGAGAUGAAAAUCUAGCCCUAGGUAACAUUACCGCACUCAGCGUGCCAUCAGGCAAAAUAUGACCCUUAAUGCAAGAUUAAAAGGAUAGAAUGUAAACCAGUGAACAAGCAUGGUGAGCCUAAAAUUGUGACUAUGAAAGCCAAUGAAAAAAAAUGAACUCUCAAGGCAGAGUGAAAACAUUUCAGGUAUUUCUAGAGGGGUCAGGUCAGCCCCUGCAUUCCUGAGCUCCUGCGCAGCAGGGAUGGAGGCAGAAGGUGCAAUUAAACAACAUUUAUGCCUCCAUGUCCAAAAGCCAGAGCUUUUCUGACCCCUGCUUAGCUGUUUCCCCGCAGCUGGCCUGUAGCA